AGUGAAUAUUAGGACAUCGCUUCGGCGAGUUCGACCCUCCACUUUUCAACUCUGUGCAUUUAUUGGCGGAAUCGAGCGAGCAAUCGUGAAGUUCUGCGUCUCAUUUUUAAACACUAGUCAAAGUAUGUAACGAAAUAUCGAAAUAAAAAAAAACUUUCAACAACGGAUCUCUUGGCUCUCGCAUCGAUGAAGAACGCAGCGAAAUGUGAUAAGUAAUGUGAAUUGCAGAAUUCAGUGAAUCAUCGAAUCUUUGAACGCACCUUGCGCUCCCUGGUAUUCCGGGGAGCAUGUCUGUUUGAGUGUCAUGAACUCUUCAACCCACCAGUUUCUUGUAGACUGAUUGGUGUUUGGAUUUUGAGCGCUGCUGGUCUUCGGAUCUAGCUCGUUCGUAAUAUAUUAGCAUCUCUAAUUCGACUUCGGAUUGACUCAGUGUAAUAGACUAUUCGCUGAGGACACACCUAGUGUGGCCGAACGUUGAUCUCAGUAGAAGCUUCCAACUAUUGUAGUCAAUUUUAGAUUAGACCUCAGAUCAGGCAGGAUUACCCGCUGAACUUAA
rnacentral:rRNA from 1 species